rnacentral:rRNA from 1 species
UACGGGAGGCAGCAGUGGGGAAUAUUGCACAAUGGGCGCAAGCCUGAUGCAGCCAUGCCGCGUGUAUGAAGAAGGCCUUCGGGUUGUAAAGUACUUUCAGUCGUGAGGAAGGUGUUAAGGUUAAUAACCUUAGCAAUUGACGUUAGCGACAGAAGAAGCACCGGCUAACUCCGUGCCAGCAGCCGCGGUAAUACGGAGGGUGCGAGCGUUAAUCGGAAUUACUGGGCGUAAAGGGCACGCAGGCGGUUAAUUAAGUUGGAUGUGAAAUCCCCGGGCUUAACCUGGGAAUGGCAUUCAAGACUGGUUAGCUAGAGUCUUGUAGAGGGGGUAGAAUUCCAUGUGUAGCGGUGAAAUGCGUAGAGAUGUGGAGGAAUACCGGUGGCGAAGGCGGCCCCUGGACAAAGAACUGACGCUCAUGUGCGAAAGCGUGGGGAGCAAACAGGGAUUAGAUACC